UCCGCGACAGGAAAGUGGAGCUGAUCCGAACCAAAGACUCCACUUAUGAGAACACGGUCCCCCCCCUCCCCAGGCCCCGGCCCCUCGCGCGGAUGGGGUUACAGGAGGGGUGAAGACGCACCGGGGGAACAGCCGCAGAGGAGGGAGGAUAUUAUGGUCAUGUUUUUAGUCGAGUGUGAACGAUAGAGAUUGUCCAGAGGGGCGCUGUUUGACCGAGUGCGCGCGCCCUGCUGGAUAACCUCGCGGUGCCUCUCCACGUCGCACGUGAACUUUUCCUUGACCCGGUGAGCGGCGAGUGAUGGACGGUAGAAAUGGCUCUUUUCUCUGUUAUCAAACCGCAGGCCUCACUUGGAAAACCUGGAAUAUUCUUGGACAGUUUUUAAGUUUUGGAAGUCGACACACGGAAGUUAGAUUCUCCAGAUCCUCUUUUCCAAAACUGUGUUUGCCAUGAUUUAAAAAAAAAGCUUUGUUUGUGCUCAUUUAAAGUUUUGUUUAAUUCCCUUUUAUAAACUUGUUGAUUGAUUUUUUAAUCUAAACGAAAAACGUACAUAAUUAAAAUCAUUCUGAACUCAAC